rnacentral:rRNA from 1 species
GGGCACGGGGGGAACCGUCGACAGUCAGGCAACGAGCGAGACCCACGCCAACAGUUGCUAGCUCGUCCUCCGGGAUGGAGAGGACACUGUUGGGACCGCCUCCGCUAAAGAGGAGGAAGGAAUGGGCAACGGUAGGUCAGCAUGCCCCGAAUUAACUGGGCUACACGCGGGCUACAAUGGGUGGGACAAUGGGUAUCGACACCGAAAGGUGAAGGCAAUCUCCUAAACCCAUCCUUAGUUCGGAUUGUGGGCUGCAACUCGCCCACAUGAAGCUGGAAUCCGUAGUAAUCGUAUCUCAAUAUGGUACGGUGAAUAUGUCCCUGCUCCUUGCACGAAUUCGCCG